rnacentral:tRNA from 1 species
GGAGAGGUGGCAGAGUGGUUGAAUGCCGCACUCGAAAUGCGGCGUGCCUUCACGGGUACCGGGGUUCGAAUCCCCCCUCUCCGCCA